AGAGUUUGAUCCUGGCUCAGGACGAACGCUGGCGGCGUGCCUAACACAUGCAAGUCGAGCGGGAGACUUCGGUCUCUAGCGGCGGACGGGUGAGUAACACGUGGGUAACCUGCCUUAGUGAGGGGGAUAGCCUUCCGAAAGGAAGAUUAAUACCGCAUAACAUUGUGCUAUCGCAUGAUAGUAUAAUCAAAGGAGUAAUCCGCACUAAGAUGGACCCGCGGCGCAUUAGCUAGUUGGUGAGGUAACGGCUCACCAAGGCGACGAUGCGUAGCCGGCCUGAGAGGGUGAACGGCCACAUUGGAACUGAGACACGGUCCAGACUCCUACGGGAGGCAGCAGUGGGGAAUAUUGCACAAUGGGCGAAAGCCUGAUGCAGCAACGCCGCGUGAGUGAUGAAGGCCUUCGGGUUGUAAAGCUCUGUCUUCUGGGACGAUAAUGACGGUACCAGAGGAGGAAGCCACGGCUAACUACGUGCCAGCAGCCGCGGUAAUACGUAGGUGGCAAGCGUUGUCCGGAUUUACUGGGCGUAAAGGAUGCGUAGGCGGAUACUUAAGUCAGAUGUGAAAAUCCCGAGCUUAACUUGGGAACUGCAUUUGAAACUGGGUAUCUAGAGUGCGGGAGAGGUAAGUGGAAUUCCUAGUGUAGCGGUGAAAUGCGUAGAGAUUAGGAAGAACACCAGUGGCGAAGGCGACUUACUGGACCGUAACUGACGCUGAGGCAUGAAAGCGUGGGGAGCAAACAGGAUUAGAUACCCUGGUAGUCC
rnacentral:rRNA from 1 species